GGAGCCUGGUGGCGGUGACGUGUUGGGCGAAUUCUGCGGAGACAGGCGUCGCCAUGACAACGGGCUCCGGCGCACGCUGCCGCUGCAGCUCGCUUCAGCGCCGCAGCCGGCCGGACCGAAUUUCAGCCAGUAGCCCAUCGUGUCGUGGUCCGGCCACUCGCGCCGCUUUUCCGUCGAGUCGCGGGUUUUUCGCGCGUGUUCAACCGUGCGCCAGGAUGUGAGGAAGAGCAGCCGUAAUUUCCACCGGCGCGCUCCAUCAGACUACACUCUUUUCAGCCAAGGUUUCGGCGGGUUCCGGGGCGGGCUUGAAUGCAGGAGGGCGAGCGGGAGAAUGCGGAGGUGCGCGAGGAGUGCGGAGCAGAGAAACCGCGACAACGGUCGCGGAGCAGGGACAAAGAGAAGGAGAGCGAGGAGCCGGCGGCGGAGGCCCUCGGGUGGGACAUCGACGCCGACCUGGAGCUCACCGGGGAGGGCGACGCCAAGCUCUCCCUCCAGAGGAUGCUCUCGGCCGGACACAACCAGCCCAGCCCGGCCGCCCUCCGCAGGCGUCUCCACCACCCCCCAAGACGCUCCGCUACCAUGACCUUCCAGCAAACGUGGCGGAGCAGCACAUCUGACAUCGAAUCUCUCUCUCAAAGAAGUCCAUCAUCAUCAAGGUAAGAAAAUAAGGCUGAAUCAUCCAUUUGCCAUUCUUAAAAUCGUCUAAUUGUUAAUUUCUAUCGAGCUUUAAUUAUUUUACCUUCGCAGCUCACGACAAAUCGGAUUCCUCCCCUUUUCUACAAACGGCAUCUCUUACAAUCAAAUCAAAUUAAAAUAAAAAUCUCUGUGAUAAUUCCCUAUUGUAACUCCGAACGGAAUGGACAAAGGAUUAUCGGAUUUGUUGAGUUGAUUAGGAUUUAUUCGCCGCAUACACACACAGCCAUUCCUUUUCACUCUUUCCCCCAUCAUUUACCGUGGUUGAUCGCACACAAAUAGCCGUGUUAGUUAACUGAAAGUUAUGAAGCGGAUGGAGUAGAGAUUUUCUGGAUAUCAGACUUUUCAAUAAGUCCGUCGAUAAAUCUCAGAAGUUUCCUCGUGGUAUCGUUUAAAGUUUCUUUUCUCCCUUCGCCGACCACAGUAGUCGCCAGAGGUCUACUCAAUUGAAGAAUAGGGAAAACUCGGGAAAGCUCAAUUUAAUAAUUUUACCGAGAAUGUCCAAAAGACAGGAAAUUCUUACACGAGAAUGUCCAGGAAACAGGAAAUUCUAAGGAAGCGAUUGGAAUUAUUUUUCUUGCCCUAUUUUUCGAUCUUGUAAGUAUUCAAACCCGUAAGGAAAAAGCUUUUCGUAACAAAUGCAUUUGCACAAGAAACAACCGGGGCGGGACCAUUAACUAUUAGAACUUUGAAGUACAUUGAAAGAUAAAAUUCCUGGAAUAUUUUUUAAUUUUAAUGGCAAAACGAGGGAUUUUGAGGUCGAUUUGAAAAUAAGCGAUAAGAAUAAUGUAAAUUUGCGGGUAUCUGGAUUUUGAUGAAUUUUGUAUUAAUUGAAAACCACUGACUGACUUAGCACAAGAAUAUCUUUAGUUUUUAAAUUAUUAUCAAAUGAUGGGAUCGGCUGAAAUACAUCCCUGCUAAAAAUUUUCCAUGGAAUUCCGUGCUGUUUUCCAUGGAAAAUUUCUUCACGUAAAAUUGGGCACGUAAAAUUUUUCCAUGGAAAAUUUCUCCACGGAAAGCUCCACGGAAAAUGUCACCAUGGAAAAUUUCACCACGGAAAAUUUGUACCGUGGAAACCUUUCUUAGCACUUAUUGUGCCUCAUGCAGGUUUCCACCAUCAAUUUACUAUGGUGUUGUUUCAUUAAGUCAUCAUAAAACUGUUCUACUCAAAUUUGAUGGUUUUCUUAAUAUUUAAUUAAAAAAUUUACAAGUUUACCUUGAAAUCAAAAUGAAUGAAAAUGAUACACUCACCAACUUGAAGACACAUGGUACCGACUAUACUUGACAGAGAUGUAAUAAUUCUUUUAACAGUUUAUACAACUGAAAAACUACCGCACUAUACCUUUGCUUCACAUACUGCACGCGCAAUGUUUAAAAUAAGAUUUCAUUCAGUUGACAUCGUGAUAAAAUAUUUAAAUUAUUUCACAAUAAGCACGGAAAACAGCACCAAAAAUAAUCACAACACUGUCCAAAUUAGCGGGCAAGAGAGUGAAAUAUGAACUGUAGAUUUUGGUUUCUGUCUGAGAAGCUUAAUUGCAUCUAGAUGGUUUAAAGGUUGCCACCAAUUCCCUGCGAAUGGCUGUUCGAUAAGAUCAAAGGAACUGCCAGAUGAUAGGAAACAAAUGGCGAUUGCUGCAGCUGAACAAAGCAGGUAAAUGUCUUGGAGUGUCUUUAUGAAAGCUCUGAAAAAUGAAUAAUGUACAGUGCAUCAAAACCUUGAGUACAACCAAUGAUCAGCACUAAAUUAAAAAAAUCUCAAGGUGAAGCCAACCAACAUUUCUUGAGAAGUUAAAAUAAGUUCUGAGGAUAGCAAAUAAUUUUUAUGGCUAAAAAUGAGAUAAAAUUCUUGUUAAAAACCUUAAAAUUAUUGUAUUGGUAGCCAUAAAAAUAGGAAGUAAAUUAUUGGACAUCUGAUAAUUCGCUGAAACAUCAUUGAUAAGGAUGUGAUGUUUUAGCCCUCUAGAGUUAGGAGUUUCAGGCCUCAUCUGUAACUUCAGAUAUAUCUCUCACUCUACUCACAUUUAUGAAUAAAAAUACCCAGUAAUAGCUAAGGCUCAAUUUAGACGGCCACACUUUUCCUCCACUUAUGUCAAAUGAAAAGUUGGAUCGUGUAAUACAACAUGAGAACACAACAAUCUUUUGAGAGGUUGAACAAAAAUUGAAAGUGACAUCACACCAAAGUUUCCGUUCAACUUCUCAAACAAAUGUUAGAGCUCGGGCAUUAUAUGUUGAGACAAACGUCAAAAGUAUUGUUUAUGUCACCAUUCACCAGUGGUGCCACCUGACUACAUGUAUUAACCUGUUAAGUGGUGCAAAUUCAGAGCUAAUCAGAGAUUGACGUUUGUCUUAACAUACGAUGCCCGAGCUCUAUGUUCUCGUGUCCGUAUCAAACGAUCCAACUUUACACUCGAAAUAAGUGGAGGAAAAUUUGGACUAUCUGAGGUGGGCUUUAGUUUCCAUUACACGGCAAAAAAAUCUAGGAGGGCCUGUAAUUCUGGUUUCUUUUUCAGUCCUAGUUCUCACCCGUGAAUUUUAUACACAGUCUAUAUGGGUUUCGGCAAACGAUAGGAGAUGGCGAUCUCAUAUGAUUUGACAGAAAUCUGAUAUUAUCCCUUAGGGGGACAAUGACAUGAGCUGAUGAGCAGCUAGGAAUGGAAUGCAGUUAGAGUGUUUAGCAUGUGCUGAAAACACGAUAAGGGAGACUGUGACCAAAAUUCGAUCACGGUUCAUGUUUGGGGUGCUGACUCGGAGGAGUGACCAAAGAGUAGAUAGAGAAAAUGGUGAGCCCAUAUGAAUCUACUAUUCAACAAAUAAUGUUAGAAUAGUUUAUCAAAAUGCAGAAAUAAAUGUACAUAAUGCUAUGAUUCUAUAUCUAUAGAGAGGUUACCGAGCGCUGAUGGAUCACUACCUGGUGCCUACAUUCAGUAAUGGGAAUUGCUAAUCAUUGUUAUUCAUGACUUACCUAGAUUCAGUUCAAGGCCCUUGCAUUCAACUCGGAUUUGGCGUAAUGUAGCGAAAGCAGGAAGUCAAGGAAUAUAUACUGAUCUGAGAAUUACUGUAAAGUUUGCGAGAGCCUCACAGCGCCUGUCAUCUCGCCUCGUUGAUAACCUAACCUCAAAAUGCCGACAAGGCAGGGCGAGGCAGAGCGGGGUGGCACAUCUCCUGACUUGCCGAAUUGAAUUGAGGAUUUUUUAUUCAAAUCUGCAUGAUCUAUAAAAACUCAUUUGCCUAUUUAUUAUUGAAAUGCGUAACGCCGAUAAUGUUUCAUAUGUCACACCUUCAACUUUUUCGUUCUAUUCUUGCUUUCAUUUUUUUAAAAUAAAAUUUCAACAUGAAACAGGGCAGGAUUGCAACACAGGAGCCGGAGCUAGAUCGUAAACACAAGAUGAGUUGUUGGUUAUCACUGCCAGUACAUAAUGCAAGUUUUAAUUUUUUUAUUUGAUUUAAAUAGUUUCAGCUCGAAUUCGAGACUUCUUCGUGACGAAAGUAAUGUUACCUCGAAGUUGGUAGAUUUUGAUUAAACUGAAAGUAAGCCAGCAGUGUAUCGCGAUGGACUCUUGGUAAUCAAUCUUCAAAUUUUUAUUUUGGCCAUGCGUAGAAAUAGAAUGAAAAAAUUCUGAUAGAUACAACUCAAUUCUCAUUGAUUUUCCCAUAACAGCUAUUCGGUUCUUUCUACAAUUCAAUGUUGGUUUCACAUGGGAGAUUUGGAAGUAUGAUGAGUGAGCUUCAGUAAAGGCAAUCGGAUAUAACUUGCUUUCAGGCGCUACUUUGCCUUAUCAGUUUGUUACACACUUCCUUCAUCGGCAGUUAAGUCACCCUCCCCCAAUGAAAAUUCUAAAAAAUUGAAAGUCUCUGUCUUUCUUCGUGCUUUCCACUGUACAUAAUAUCAUCCUAUUGAAUAGUCAGUGUCUAAACUAAUCUUGCAAAACAUAGACAUUUGAUCUAUAAUUGACAGACUUUAAAGCUGUACCUACGUUGUAUGCGUGGUUCGAAGAAGCUGCGUGUUUUCUGUUUUUUGACAUACUAUUGCGGUUAUUUCAGUUGUCUUAAACAGAGUAUAAGCAGCAAAUUAUUAUUACAUCUCUGUCAGCCAUAGCAAAUCUCUAAGUUAAUCAUAUUUUAAAUGAAAACUUUCUCUGUG
rnacentral:lncRNA from 1 species